rnacentral:rRNA from 1 species
GACGAACGCUGGCGGCGUGCUUAACACAUGCAAGUCGAACGAGAUCCAAUGUGUAGCAAUACACAGGAAGAUCUAGUGGCGAACGGGUGAGGAACACGUGAGAAACGUACCCCAGACUUUGGGAUAACAGUCCGAAAGGAUUGCUAAUACCAAAUAACGUCGGAAGUCCGCAUGGACAUCUGACGAAAGGGAUUCCGGUUUGGGAGCGUCUCGCGGACCUAUCAGCUAGUUGGAGGGGUAACGGCCCACCAAGGCAACGACGGGUAGCUGGUCUGAGAGGAUGGUCAGCCACACUGGGACUGAGACACGGCCCAGACUCCUACGGGAGGCAGCAGUGGGGAAUCUUGCGCAAUGGGCGAAAGCCUGACGCAGCAACGCCGCGUGCGGGAAGAAGGCUUUCGGGCUGUAAACCGCUUUCAGUAGGAACGAAACUGACGGUACCUACAGAAGAAGGAGCGGCCAACUAUGU